UGAGAAAGCAGAUAGAUCCAGACUGCAAC
rnacentral:piRNA from 1 species